rnacentral:misc_RNA from 1 species
CAGGACUAGUACUGCUCUUGAUUUCUUUACCCUUAGCUGAGUCCAUACUCUCACUGCUGCUUUCAACUGGUACUGAUUUAGAGGUACCCUCUCCAUAAUUCUUAUUCACUUCUGCAUUUAAUUUGAAUUUGCCAUUCACAUUCAUUUGCUCUUUCACUUUCUUCUUUUCUUUGUGAACCUCUUUUAUCACUUCUUGCUCUGUUUCUUCUUCCAAAUCUGGUAUACCUUCCUUUUCUCUCACCUCCUUCGAAUCCGGACUACUCGUGGUCGAACCGUAACCGUAUCUUCCCAACGAGUAAUAAGCUGGAAGGCCACCAGCAUCGUUAUCAUACGCGUCGAACACAUUGAGAAAGUCCCAAGUGGACACUGUCGGCGGCGAUGGCGGCGCCGGUGGCGGCCUCUGCGGACUUGGUUCCUUCUGGGGAGAACCCAUCGGGUACCCAAAAUACCCGCCAUUUCCAUAAUAACUCGGAUACCCAUUUACCGAUGGAUCCUCAUACACCACUUUCUUUGACGGAGUGGCAGACCUCUUCAUGUAAUACAUGUUAGGAUAAGGAUUGGACGAAGGAUACGGGUAUGGAUAUGUAUAUGGAUUUUCUUCCGGAUAAUUGUAGCCCCAAUUUCCUUGAG